rnacentral:rRNA from 1 species
AAUCAACGCUGGCGGCGUGCCUCAGACAUGCAAGUCGAACGAUUAAAGCUCUCUUCGGAGAGUGUAUAGAGUGGCGCACGGGUGAGUAACACGUAAGUAAUCUACCCUCGAGUGGGGAAUAACAACCGGAAACGGUUGCUAAUACCGCAUAAUGCAGCGGCACCGCAAGGUGACAGUUGUUAAAGAUUUAUCGCUUGAGGAGGAGCUUGCGGCAGAUUAGCUAGUUGGUAGGGUAACGGCUUACCAAGGCUACGAUCUGUAACCGGUCUAAGAGGACGGUCGGUCACACUGACACUGAAUAACGGGUCAGACUCCUACGGGAGGCAGCAGUCGGGAAUUUUGGGCAAUGGGCGAAAGCCUGACCCAGCAACGCCGCGUGAAGGAUGAAGUAUUUCGGUAUGUAAACUUCGAAAGAAUAGGAAGAAUAAAUGACGGUACUAUUUAUAAGCUCCGGCUAACUACGUGCCAGCAGCCGCGGUAAAAGUCGAUAUCG